GCCAGGCACAGUGGCACAUGGCUAUGGUCCCAGUUACUUGGUAGGCAUGAGAAGAUCACUUGAUGCUGAUUGGGUGUCUGCACUAAGUUUGGCAUCGUUAUGGUGAACUCCCAGGAGCAGGGAACCACUGGGUUGCCUAAGGUAAGGUGAACCUGCCCAGGUCAGAAAUGGAGCAGGUCAAAACUCCUAUGCUUAUCAAUAGUGGGAUUGUGCCUAUGAAUAGCCACUGUACUCCA
ensembl:misc_RNA Metazoa_SRP Metazoan signal recognition particle RNA